rnacentral:lncRNA from 1 species
UUUUAUUAUACUUGCAAUCUAAAAAUAAUCGGGAUAUGUAAGAUUAGGCGAAAAGUAAUCGGAUUAGGCGGAAAGUAAUCAGAUUAGGCGGAGAGUAAACGCGAACAGCCGGCAUUGCAAGCAAAUAGAGAGCCCCCGCCCGUUUGAGUCGUUGCGAGCCGGAAAGCGUACCGGCAGUUUUAGUCGAGGAUCAUCAUCGAUGACAAAGACGGAGACGGCAUCAACUAGCAUUCAUUGUAUUUUCUACCGAACAGAUCUUCCCUUAACCUUUUGAGUUUUGACUAAUACCGGUUUGCUCGUCCUCUAUAUUAAAUCAUGUUGCAGUAGCAAACUCUGACAAAACAAACCAUAAAAAUAUUAAUUUUAUAAAUUGAACUUUUACGAUAGGCAAUUGAAAUAACAAAAGAGAUUGAUCAACGCCUUAAUGGAUCUUGGUAAUUAGACAAUAAAAUAUGAAGUUUGGUUUACUAAACCAACGAUUUACGAGACCAAAUAAAUGAGUAACAAAAGAAAUCAAAUAAUUAUUAUUUUUCUUAUUAGAUCGACAGUUGCAUAAACAUAGAUCAAUCAUUAUAAAUCAUUAAAAUGAGAUCCACAAUUAUAAAAGAUGAAUAAUCAGUUAUAUAUCUCACAGGUAAGUAAAGGCGUGAGUGG